UGGCGGACGGGUGAGUAACGCGUGGGUAACCUGCCUCACACUGGGGGACAACAGUUAGAAAUGACUGCUAAUACCGCAUAAGCGCACAGGACCGCAUGGUCCGGUGCGAAAAACUCCGGUGGUGUGAGAUGGACCCGCGUUUGAUUAGCUAGUUGGUGGGGUAACGGCCUACCAAGGCGACGAUCAAUAGCCGACCUGAGAGGGUGACCGGCCGCAUUGGGACUGAGACACGGCCCAA
rnacentral:rRNA from 1 species